AAAUAACCAAGAUGCUGUAAAUUCAAUGUUGAGUAAAUUCCGCGAUUUGAAACUUUAUGAGAAUUUGGAUUUUGUGGCAGAAGAUCAAAAAGAUGAAGUGAUUGUAAAUCUCUUGCAGCAGAUUAAAGAGCUUGAGAGGCAAGUAAAGGAGCGGAAAGAAUGGGCACAUCAAAAGGCAAUGCAAGCUGCAAGGAAACUGAGUAAUGAUCUCACAGAGCUUAAAAUGUUGAGGAUGGAAAGGGAAGAGACCCAACGCCUGAAAAAAGGCAAACAGACUUUAGAGGACACAACAAUGAAACGACUAUCUGAG
rnacentral:misc_RNA from 1 species